rnacentral:rRNA from 1 species
CCUACGGGAGGCUGCAGUGGGGAAUAUUGGACAAUGGGCGGAAGCCUGAACCAGCCAAGCCGCGUGAAGGAAGAAGGCGCCAGGCGUCGUAAACUUCUUUAGUCGGGGAACAAAUGGCGCCACGCGUGGCGUUGUGAGUGUACCCGACGAACAAGCAUCGGAUAACUCCGUGCCAGCAGCGGGGGUAAUACGGGGGAGGCGAGCGUAAUCGGGAUUGAUGGGCGUGAAGGGGUGCGUCGGGGGUCCGGAAAGUCAGCGGGAAAGCCCCGGGGCUCACCCUCGGCGAGCCGUUGAAACUGGCGGACUAGAGACGGCGAGAGGUACGCGGAAUGCCAGGUGUAGCGGUGAAAUGCGUAGAGAUCGCGAAGAACACCGGUUGUGAAGGCAGCGUACUGGAGCGGGACUGACGCUGAGGCACGAAAGCGUGGGUAGCGAACAGGAUUAGAUACCCUAGUAGUC